GACGUAGGGCGCGAGCGUUGUCCGGAUUUAUUGGGCGUAAAGAGCUCGUAGGCGGUCAGUCGCGUCUGCUGUGAAAACUCGGGGCUUAACUCCGGGCCUGCAGUGGGUACGGGCUGACUAGAGUGCGGUAGGGGAGACUGGAAUUCCUGGUGUAGCGGUGAAAUGCGCAGAUAUCAGGAGGAACACCGGUGGCGAAGGCGGGUCUCUGGGCCGAUACUGACGCUGAGGAGCGAAAGCGUGGGGAGCGAACAGG
rnacentral:rRNA from 1 species